CUGGCCGGUGUAGCCCACCCUGGGAGGAAAAGGAGAAAUCACCAGUCAGAAGUGCAGGGAGAAAGGAAUUCAGCGAAACUUAGGCUGGAAGAGUGGAGUGUCCUCAGACCUUAUCUGAGGGCAUCCUCAGAGCCAGCUUUGAAGCCCCAGGAGGAAGCCACCCUGAGCUCCGAUCGCCCCACUUCACAACCCCCCCGGCUGUUGCCCAGCUUGACCACCCAAAUGAUUGGCCAGGCUUGCUCCAAAUGACUUCGGGCUAUUCCAAAAAUCAGAACCGCGCCCAAGCCCAUGAAGGCGUACUAAUCACCGAGCACAGUAAACACAAACGAAUGUGCCUCGGGUUAGCUGUUUGGCCCGAGGCAGGAGGAGACUGCCCCUCUUGGGGCCAUUUUCAGACAAAAACACACUGGCUGAGGUCCCUCACUAUCCCAGCAUCCCAGGGUUCUGGAUUCACAGGCCUCAGGGCACUUAGCACAGGCAGAGUCUCCGACAGCGACAGCAGUAAUGCAAGGAUGGAAUCAGAGGCUGGUGGCCAUAGGUCCCCUUUGAUGGGGGGAUCACAUUCAGAUGUGUUUCACCAGUGAGAGUCCUCCGGGUGGCCAAGGCUGCCCUCCAGAUGUCCUCAUGCCAGAGUGGCCCUGGCCUGCCCCGGGGGGCCACAGCUUAUGCACAACCCGACCUGGGAGUCAGCAGCUCUGCUGCUUUGUGACCUCAGGCAAAGCAUUUCUGGGCUCCAGUCCCCAAUCUCCUUCUGAACCGCCUGCCUUAGCGGGGAUGGGGAAACCUCAGGUAAAAAAACGAGGACCCUAGCAGGAAACCAAGCAACCUGAGCUGAGCUUUACCCUGAGAGGGCCAGGACUCCCCAUCUCAGGGUGGGCAGUGAGCGGGCCUCUGAAGAAGACAGGACAUCCUCAUUACCUUGCUUCCCGAAGGGGAAGGGCUGCCCCUGCUUCCGAGCCUCCUGCAGGCUCAGUGCUGCCUUCAGCUGUGGGCACAAGGGGGCGGUGAGGGAGAACAGGGUUAGGGGUGGGGGGAGGGAGGGGAACUGAGGCAGGGGAAGGACAAAGAUGGCGGGGCGGGAUGCUGCGGGGUGAUGUGUGUCUGUGCAGCCUGGAGACCACUACAGCACAAGAGCUCCUGUGCAGUGGGGACUUGGCCUCUGUUCUGUGGCUCUUCCUUUGUUAUGAAUCUCUCCCCGUUUUUGUUUUAUUCCAGGAAAAUCUAUGAGGAGAGUGGUAACUUCUGAGACCGUAAGCUUCUUUCAGCACAGCGGGCCUUCCGAGAGCCGGCAGUAAGGGGUUUCUUCCCUCUCUAGGCAGGGAGGGGUCCUCAGGCUCCAGGGUGCAGGGAGGGGUAGACGAGACUGCCCUGCCCUCCCGGCUUCAGCUCCAGAGGAUGGCCCAGAAGCUUCCGCAACUGCCAGCUGAGGCCUCCCCUUGCCGCCCCAGCACAGACAAAGGGAGAAGAGGCAAGGCCUGGCCGUCUUUCCUCGUGGGGACCCUCUGUCCUGCCUGACCACCCAACUCCCUGCCUCAACUCCCCAGGCCUUACCCAAAAGCCACAGAAGAGGGGCAGGACCCUUGGUAGCCACUGUGGCCCACCUCACACCACCCCAGUCUCAGCAACUGCACUUACCUCGAAUCUCCAGGUUCCUGGGGCGGGCCGAGGAGAUGGGCCGGGGGCAUCUUCG